AUUAACUUAAUACUAAUCAUCAGUGUAAUAGGCCAAUAAAAACAAAAAAAUCAAACCAAAUCAAUAAAAGUCCAAAAUUUGCAGUCCAUGUUUUACAAAUAUCUGGGCCCAAUUUACAACAUGCAUAGCCCAAAUCAAAACUACCCAAACCCAAUUAAAACCCAAUUACAAAGCCCAAAACAAAUCAACCCUAGCCCACUCUUAACAUUUUCUGAGAGCAAAAGAACCCUAGCCACCUCUGCCUUCAGCCGCCACUCAGCCCCAUGCGCGCCGCACGUUAGCAGGGCUUUUCCCUCACGCUAUCGCCGGCCUUCACGUGUAUCUGACCCCUCUGACACUUGCAAAUAAGAAUCCACACGCAAACAGUAGCAGACAACAAGCAAAAGAAAAAAAUGGAUCUGUGUAACUCGGCUAUAAAAGCCGAAAUAAAUCCCUCUGUAAUUUUUUACACACACUAGUAAUUCAAAAAAGCAAAACAGAAGUUUGAAAAGAUUGAUUUUGAUUUUCUUUACUUGUUUUCUUUUCGUUUUCCAGUUUCUUUUUAUUUUUUAUUAUAAAUCUAUUUAAUAAAAAAAGGGGCGUAAAAUAAGAAGAGGAUGAAGGGAAAACUUACCUAAAAUCCUCCGUGGUUGUGUCGUCCGGGUCCUUCUCACCGUCCCUGAAAUCGAACCCAAAAGAGGGAAGAGAGAGACAUUUUUCUCUCGAUCCGUGGGCUGAGAAGGCUUAGCCUUUAAACAUGUAACAGGGCUGAAAAGCCCGUUCUGUGCCGCUCCGACCACCAUCCACGGCGGAGGAGCGGCGGGAUGGCAACGGCGCCCCAAGGCUAGGUCAAAACCCUAACAGAGAAAAUAGGGAGGGGUUUAAAAGUUUUAUUUAAAAAAAAA
rnacentral:lncRNA from 1 species